AAGUUUUCAUCUAAAAGAAUGUUAUGUGGUUUUAUGUCAAAAUGUAAAAUUCGAGUGGUACAUCCUCUAUGCAAGUACUCUAGCCCACGAGCUAUCCCUUUUGCAAUUUGAUACAAAUUCUCCCAACUCAAAGAUGCAAUUGUUUCAGGUCCCUUAUUGUAAAUAAAUUUGUCAAGUGAACCAUUGGACAUAAAUUCAUAUAUGAGUGCUUUUUUUGUGCCUUCAAAACAAAAUCCAAGAAGGGUAACAACGUUAACAUGUGAGGUUCUAGUAAUACUGGAAACCUCAUUAAUAAAUUCUUCACCGUUUCCUUUGGAUGAAUUCAAUAUCUUUAUAGCGACAUGACAACCAUUGAAUAACUUUCCUUUGUACACAACACCAAAACCACCUUGACCAAGUUUAACCUUGAAAGAGUCUGUCAUUUUCUUUAUUUCUGAAUAUUUAUAUCUUUUCUGCAAUAGAGCUCCAUGAUCUUUUAAAAAUGCUUCAAUAUUUGUAUCAUUCUUAGUUCUAAACUGAAGCUUUCCUUGCCGUAUUAAUAAUUUGCUUCUAAGACAAUAGAUAAUGGUGCACAAUAACAAUACGGCCAUAACUGCAGUUACAACACCUGUUUAUGAGGAGAAUUGAUUAAUUAUAUGGGCCGAUGGAAGAAACAUGACUGAAUAAAUAAAAGUUAUAUUCUUUUUUCUUAUAUAGUUAUUUGACGUGAGUUUAGCCGAGUUGGUAGGGAUAAUGUAUAAUGAACCUUGCUGCUGACACAUUGAAGAGGGCUAAGACACACCAGUAAAUUACUGAAAUGCCCCCUUAGCAGUUAACUGCCGAGGAAUUUGAAAUCCGGCUGCAGUUAACUGUCGAGGAAAACAUCGGUAGUUAACUGCCGAGGAAUAUGUUUCAUCUGAUGAAACAGCCAUCUGCUCCCCCUACACACUAUUUCAUCAUCAACUUCAUUUUCCCUACCAUUCAAUCCCCAAAUCCAAUAUUAUUAUUUUUUAUCAAAUAUUGAUCCAAAAUCAUUCAAGCAUCAAGCAUAGGAGGUAUCAACACACUUUUGACGUAAAAAAAAGAUAUUGAGCAUUUUAAUCCGUUCAUUUUUUGAGUUUGUUAUGGGUAUCUACGUCAGUUACGUAGAACUCUGUCAUGAGAAUCCUCGGCGGUUAACUGCCGAGGAAAACUUCGGUAGUUUGGUGCCGAGGAAAACCAAGGUAGUAAGGUGCCGAGGAACUCUUGUGAAAAAUUAUCACAACGAAAAAAUGGCAGCUAUUGCCAUUUUUUCCUAUUUUUUUUGUUUUUUUUGUUUUAAUUCAUUAUGGCAUUGAUGUUUAUGCAUUAGUUAGUUGUUAAUUUAUAUUUAUGUGUUGUUUAAUUAUAGUAAUGGUAGAGAACGCGGAAGAUGUUCUGGGAGAGACAAAACAUAAUUUUGUCGAAAUUUCCGGAGAUGUCAAACCGCCUAGGGUUGAAGCGAAGCCAAACAUUGAUGGAGCUUCCGUCCAUGUUGAAGCUUCAAAGUAUGUUGGCGGUUCCAGUGUCCUCCCACCCGUAGCCCACGAGGUCGACACGGCUAAGUUUUUUUUCAGACGACGUUAAGUCGAAAGAUAGAGAUGAAUUGCUUGAGUGGGCGCGUCGUCAAGCAAAUAAGGCGGGAUUUACAAUUGUUACACAUAGAUCAAGCUUGAUCAAUCCAAUGUUCCGCCUAGUGUGUGAAAAUGUGGGUGGUUGUUCAUGAUUAGUGGAUAUCAAAGUAAGGUAACAAAGGAAUGAGGAUUGAACAUUCUUAAUGGAGUUCACAACCAUGCGAUGGAGCCGACUUUAGAAGGACACAUUCUUGCCGGUAGAUUAAAGGAGAAUGACAAGAAGAUUGUACGUGACUUGAUCAAGAGCAAGAUGCUUCCAAGUAAUAUUUUUAUACAUUUGAAGAACAAAAGACCACAUUGCAUGAUAAAUUUGAAGCAAGUGUACAAUGAACGUCAACAAAUAUGGAAGGCAAAUAGAGGUGACAAGAAGCCGUUGCAAUAUCUAAUCUCGAAGUUGGAGGAGCACAACUAUACUUAUUACUCAAGAACACAAAGUGAAAGUACUACAAUCGAAGAUAUCUUUUGGGCUCAUACAACAUCCGUUAAGUUGUUUAACAAUUUUCCAACGGUUUUGGUUAUGGACUCCACCUACAAAACCAACAUGUACAUGAUGCCAAUGUUUGAGGUAGUUGUGUUCACUUCGACCGAUUUGACAUAUUCGGUUGGGUUUGGAUUUGUGACACAUGAGAAAGAGGAAAACUUUGUUUGGGUUUUAAAAAUGUUUGGUAAACUUCUUUCGUCAAAGAUGAAUAUGCCUAAGGUGAUUGUUACCGACAGGGAUAUGUCUUUGAUGAAAGUGGUUGCAAAUGUUUUCCCCGAAAGUUAUGCAAUGAAUUGCUACUUUGAUGUGCAAGCAAAUGUUAAACAAAGGUGCGUCUUAGAUUGCAAAUAUCCUUUGGGAAAAAAGGAUGGGAAAGAGGUGAGUAAUCGCGAUGUUGUCAAGAAGAUAUUGAGGGCAUGGAAAGCUAUAGUUGAAUCGCCCACUCGACAGUUAUAUGCAAAUGCAUUAGUGGAGUUCCAAGAUUCAUGUAGUGAUUUUCCAAUUUUCAAAAAAUAUGUCAUGACCACCUUGAAUGAAGUGAAGGACAAAAUUGUGAGGGCAUGGACAGACCAUGUGUUGCAUCUUGGUUGCAGGACCACCAAGAGGGUCGAAUCAGCUCACGAUUUAUUGAAGAAAUAUUUGGACAAUAGUGUGGGUGAUUUGGGUACUUGUUGGGAGAAAAUACAUGACAUGUUGUUGCUUCAGUUCAUUGCUAUACAAACAACCUUUGGUCAGAGCGUUAGCGUGUUGGAACAUAGAUUCAAAUAUGUCACUUUGUACUCGGGGAUAGGUGGUCAUGUGUCUAGAUAUGCUUUGGACAACAUUGCUUUGGAAGAGACACAUUGUAGGAAAACAUUGUGCAUGUACAAUGACAUUUGAGGUUGUGUUCAAAGGACUUCUUACGGGUUACCAUGUCCAUGCGAAAUUGCUACUAAGCUCCUUGAAGAGAAGCCAAUUUUAUUGAUGAGAUAUACCACCAUUGGCUUAAGUUACGUAUGGGUGAAGAAAGUAACGAAGUUGGUUUUUGUGUCGAGGUUGAGUUGAAGGCUAUUGUAGAACAUCUAAAGAAACUCCCUUUCCAAAUGAAGGUUGAGGUCAAAGAGGGUUUACGGCAGUUGACAUUUCCUGAAACCACCAUGAUGUCUCCACCACCACGAAAAGUACCAACCAAGGGAGCAAAGAAAAAAGUCGACAUUGCGAGGUCUAAAGGAAAAAUUACAUCGACUAGUCGGAUCCCUUCUUCGUGGGAGGUUGUUGAUUCCAAAAAUCCGGAUAGCCAACCGUCACCAUCACCAACAACAUCAUCAAACAAAAGGAAAAAAGGUGCUCGUCUUGGUAAAACAUCACUUUCCCCACUUCCACCACCUACUCGGUAUCCAAAGCCUAAGGCUAUCCCGGUUAUGAGUCCUAUUGAUUAUAUGCCACGCUUCAUGCUUCCAUUUAUUGAAAAAGUGGUGGAUGUUAUCGACGAUGGACAUUGUGGAUUCCGGACUAUAGCCCAGUUCAUGGGAUUGACCGAAAAAAAUCAUCUCAUGCUCCGUACACACCUUAUUCAAGAGUUGAAAGAUCAUAGAGGUGAUUAUGUUGAAGUAUUUGCGGAUGAGGAUCGUUAUAACUACAUUUUAAAUGGCUUACAUCCUCCCGCAAAUACGAAAAGUUGUGCACAUCUUGUUAAUAAGUGGUUGACUUUUCCGGACAUGGGACACAUUGUUGCUAACUAUUACAAAAUGUGUGUGGUCGUGUUGACAAAUCUUGAAGUUGGAAACUCGGAAUCUUUUUUCCCACUAAGAGGGCCACCACCGCCGGGUAAUCAAAAAGCUCCCAUCUUGUGCCUUGGGGCAAUUCCGAAUCAUUUCGUGCUUAUUUAUUUGAAGAAUGGUUGUCCACUACCUCCAUCAUCUACGGAGUGGCACAAUCAAAAGAAAUAAGAUGAGGUGACGUGGGAAGAUGAGUAUUUGGAUUAACAUGAGUUGUUUCGAAAGCUCAUGGCUAUUGAAAGUGGAAACAAAUUGUCGAAACUAGAAAAGAAGUCAAACAAAGCGGCGCCUAUUUUGUUGGACACUCCCGAAAAACCAAAGCAACAAUUUGAUGUUAUUUCGGAAGAUGAGGAAGAUUCUAUGUCACUUGAUCUUCUCCAAUCACUUGCCUUUUAAUGAGUGAUUUUUUUGUCGGUGUUAGUCCUUUUUUUUGGUAGAAAUUACAACGACGUAUAUUUUGGGGUCGAAAUUGUAACGCCAAUUUUUUAUGGCCAAUAUAUAACUAACAUUAUGUAAUUUAUAUCGAUAUAUCGAUAUAUAUAUAUAUAUAUAUACUACCUCCGUCCCUAAUUAUAGGACCCUUUUGAAAAAAUAACGGGAAUUAAGAUAGUUUAUAUUUGUAUUAAAUAUGUUUGUAAUUACUAUUGUUUUUACAAUUUUAUCCUUUAAGAGAGAGUUGGUUUAUGUUUUCAACAUGUUAUUUAUUGUUGAUUGAAGAAAAAGAUGUAUAAUAAAUAGGGGCAUGUAUGUAAAGAAAUAAUUAAUGUAGUUGGAAAUAGCAAAGGGGUCUUAUAAAAAGGGACAAAUUUUUUUUUCAAAAGGGUCUUAUAAAUAGGGACGGAGGUAGUAUAUGAUAAUAUGACUUUUAUGUGGUGAAACUAGUGCAAUACUUGUUUAUAGCUUAUUAAUGUUUACACAUUUGAAUUAUUCGUUAUUACAUUCCAUUUAAUUUUGUUCUAAUCUAUGAUUCUUUUCUUAAAGCUUUUUUCAAGUGAGACAUGUCUGAGGUUGGACAAAUUGAAGGGCGUGUUAGGUACUCCGCGUUUAAAACGACGGUUAAGGUUAUGAUAACGUCGACGGACUCUCUUCACGAUUUGAAGGCACAACUUAACAAUUAUUUUGAGCAUCUUGGUGAAAAUCAAUAUACACGUCACUUGUUUGGUCAAAUGCCAUGCAUAGACCUAGGAGAAGAUAGAGAUGAAUACGCUUGGAAAACGGCAAGCUAUAUGCCUUGGCUUAUUCGCGACGAUAGCGACGUCGGAUUUAUGUUUUAGAAUAUGGUGGAAGAUAAUAUAUUAUAUAUGUAUGUUUGAUCGAUAUGCAAUUGCGUUGAAUGUAUGUAGGGAUUUAAUUUAAUGAUGUGUAAUGAGUUGUUUAAUUAUGGACACUUUGUAACGUUUUGAUGAAUUUCAAACGUUUGUGUAAUUGGAACCAAAUGUCGGUUUGAUUUAAUUAUGGACAAUUGUAAAAGAUAUUGUAUUUACCUUGUUUAUGUCCGAGUUUCAAUGUUGUAUGAAUUAUUUUGCCUUUGGAAAUGCUCUGGAUUAAUUAUAGGUAAAAACUGGGCGAAAAAUGGCUUGGAAAUAUUUAGAAUUAUGCAGAACCCACAGUCUGCAUAAUUUGUUUUCCUUGGCAGUUAACUGCAGCCGGAUUUCAAAAAUUUCGACAGUUAACUGCCGAGGAGGCAAAAACGUAAAAUACUCGUGUGCAACAGCCAAAUCAAAUGUAGGAACAACAACUCUCAUGCAUAAUAUAUGUUAGAAUUCACAUACAUUAAUGUCACCAAAAAACAUGCUAAAAUAUUAAUGUCACCAAAGACAUGCUAAAAUAUAAAUAAUCAUUUUCUUUAUGUUAAAAAAUUGAAGACUCGUGAUUUAAGAUUGAUUAUCUAGUAUUUUUUUUAUUUUUUUAUUUUUGUUUCAAAAUGUCUAUAAGUGAAACUCACACACACUCAUUGGUAUAUAAUGCAUAUCAAAUCUGCCUACAAUUUUUUAUCCUCCUAUCUAUACAUGCGGAAUUGACUAUCUAAUAACUAGUUGGUUUAUAAAUGUAUUAAUUAAAUAUUAACAAUAACAAUUAAAGUGAAGUUUGAUAUAUUACCUAUAAUGACUUUCCUUUUCCAGUUAGAGUGAUUACCUGAAAACAAUCAUAUGCAUAAACAUCAAGAGAAGUUGGUAUAUAUAUUCUGCUUUAAUAAUUUUAUAGACACAGUCUCAGAUUAUAAAAUUUAUGAUCAAAGAAGCAGAAGGGUGAAUGACAUACCAGUUGGUGAUGGUGAUCGUGUCGGAGAUAAUGUAAUUGAUCUACUGUUAUUGGCCUUGUGAUCACAACGUGUACCAUUACUGCAAACUAUAUAUAAUACAUUUUUUGUUCACCAUUAGUAACAGUACAUGCUGAUAAAAAAAAUAAAAAAUAAAUCUUUAUACACAUCAAUACCCUAAAAAAGUACAGAAAAAUUAUAUGUAUUUUUUUUUUAAGGAAGAAAAAUUAUUGUUGGGAAAUGCCUGCAUAAUUUCCCUCCUCUCUGAACUCAAAAUAGGCACUUUAGCGGAAACAUAAAAUGACACACAACAAAAUUUUAAUGUGGAAAACCUUCUCAAUGUGAGUAAGAAAAAAACCACGGGAUCCGUAGGCCUCUUAAAUCUCCACUAUAAUAAUAAUGGGAAUACAAAUCUUCACCCUCAGAUGGACCUAACUACGUAUCUAAAUUUAUAGAUACAACUCUCACAAAUUGGCUUACUAUAUUUUUCUCUCACACUCUUACGAGGAACUCUCUAUUUUUCUCUCAACUCCCGAGGAUUGUGUUGUGUUGUGGUGUGAUUGCUUUGCUGAAGCUCUUCUCUAUUUAUAGAGAGAUUUGAACCACAAACAUUGAAUGCUUGGUUCUCACAUUCAACCACUAUACUCAACCGUCCUUGACUUUUGAACUACCAUCUGCCGUGCUUUCAAAUUGCUUCUGACACAAAUUGAAGUUAAGCACCGCAAGCUACUUUCUAUAGGCAUGUAGGAGAAGAAAUUUCAACAUCUCUCAUAGUGCCUUACUAUAGCUGGAACCCAUGAGUUAUAUGUAUUUCAAAGAUAUAUACACGUAAAUACCCUAAAAAAGUGAGUACUUUUCGGGACCAUACUAGAAUUACUCUAUAAAUAGAGUAGUAAAUUAGUAAUCAUCACAGCGGUAACUUAAUCAAAAUCAACACAGAAAGAAUUCGCACCACUAUAUUAGCGGUACCAUUAAAGAAUAUUAAUCCCUGCGACCCUUUUGAGAUAUUGUCACAUUUUCCACCUUUUGUGCUGCAAUCUACUUGCCAAAUUUUUACAUUAGUAUGUGUAUGCUUAUAAAAGAAAAUUUUGCAAACAUUUUGCAGUGCCAUUUUGAAGUGGUUUGGUUCAUCGUGUUUAUCAUCAAAUUUGUAACAUACUUCCACAGUUCCUAAUCUUAAGUACACUUCAAGAAAAGAAAAAAAAACAUCACUUGUACAAAUUACUAAAUAAAUUUGUUAUUUUUUUUCUUCAAAAAUAUACCUCUAAUUAAUAUUAUUAACUUGUUUUAAAAUAUGAAAAGUCAAAUUUAAUACACAUACAAACAAAUAACAAUUUAGUAAUAUUGACAUAUAAAAUAGACACAUUAAUUAUGUUCACAAUUAUUUAAAGAAAUGCGAAAAAUACAAAGAUAUCUUAUAUAUAGAGACGAAGAGAGUAUGUUUGUCACUUUUGUGGUCUAUAAACAAAUAAAUUGGUGAGGGACCAUUUUCAUAAUUUUUGUUUUAAAGGAAUAUUAUCAAAGUUAGAUUGUAAAAAUAGAAUUUUUUUUAAGAUUAAAUAAUAUUAAGCGAAUAUUGGCGAGGGACCAUUUUCAUCCUCUACCAUUUAAGCGAAUUUUAGUUUAACCCCUAUAAAAAAAAGUUGGAAAUUUCCCACAGACAAUGAUUGUGGAUAAUAAUGUGAAUUUCAUAAAAAUCAUAAAGUGAAUACUGCUCGUGACCAUACUAGAAUUACUUUAUAAAUAGAGUAGUAAUUAACACAUUAAUAACUUAAACUUACUCACUUGCUCAAAAAACAAAAAAAAAAAAUUUAAACUUACUCAAAUUAGUUAGGCUAAUGGUAAUCUAAAUCUAAGUCAACGGGGCUGGUUCUAAGACUUUUAGUGCCCUAGACGAAAUUAAUAAUACCCUUUUAAUUAUUUGAGUGUUUUUUCUCUUGCAUUUUUUAUUGCAAAAGAUUCAUUCAUGAUCAAAGUUAUUUAAAAACAUAUUUUCAAUAUAAUUAAUUAAAAGGAUUUAAAAUUAAAUAUAUCUAUAUAGUACUGACUACAACAUUAAUAUAAUAAUUUGAAUGUCCUUACGAAAAUGGUGCCCUAGGCUCCCGCCCACCCUGAAAAUUAGUGAAUUUUUUUUUUCUGACCCUCUUUUCGAAAAAAAAUUCCAGUUUGACCCCCUAUUGAAAACAAUUUUCAAAAUGACCCACUUUUGGUUUUUUUUUUUUUUUUUGUCUUAUUUGCCGUUCCCGCCAUUUGAAACGGCGGAACUGGCCGCCGGUCUGACAGCCGUCGCGUUAGACUGCACUCUUUUUUUUUAUUAUUAUUAUUUUUUGGUCAUUCCCGCCAUUUCAAAUGGCGGGACUCAUUAUUUUUUAUUUUUUUUCUUUUUUUUACAUUAAAAGUAUAGUAAUGAUAAAUAAUAUUGAUAAAUAAAAAUAUAGUAAUGAUAAUGAUGAUAUAUUUAAUUUAAAAACAAUAAUUAUUUUAUUCAUUCGAAUUCCAGUGAUCGUCGGUAGGCAGAGUGUAACGCCCGUUUCAAAUUAUUUAAUUAUUUAAUUGAGUCUAGAAGUUAUUUAGAUGAGUUUAUAUUAUAUUUAUAUGAUAUAUGUGUGAUUUAAGAGGUUUUAUAUGAUUGAGGUGAUUUUAUGUGAUUUAUGAGGAGUUGGUACUUAUUUUAUUGUUUAAUAAAAUAAGAUUUGAAAAAUAAAUAAAAUAUUGAGUUUGGGGGUUGUUUUGAGAUUUUAGAGAGUUUUGGGGGAGAAAGAGAAAUAAGAUAAGAUAAUUAGAGGAGAUAUAAAUAGAGAAAACCUAAUUUUAGAGAAACACAUUGUACGUGAAAACUUUUGAAAAAGGGAGAAAAGUCAAGAGAAGAGCAAGAGAGACCUAGGGCUGCGAUUUUCAUCUAACAAGGUAAGGGUGAGACUAACUCUGCAAUUUCAUUAAGUAUAUGAUGCAAUGAUUAGGUUUAACAUGAAUUAGGAUGAGUUUUAGAGGAAUUGAGAAUUAAGUCAAAAUUGGAGAAUUAAUGAUCAAACGGUGAAAAAUUGUUAAAUUGAUGUAGAAACUGUCCCUAGACCUUAGAUAAUGUGUAGGAUGAAUUCUGGAAUUAAUGUUAGGCUUAAAACCAUGAGAAUUAGUGAUUUUUGGUGAAAACUGCACUUCUGCCCGUAGCGACAUUCAUCGCUCGCCACGGCGAGCUAUGAACCUCGCCUCGCGAGUGAUGAAGAUUCAUUGCUCACCUCGCGAGCCAUUUCCCCUCGCCUCGCGAGUUGCGCGAUGCAGCUCGCCACAGCGAGCAAACAUACUCGCCAUAGCGAGCUAGACCAGAGAGCAUGCAAGAUUCUGUUUUUUUGACUUUUGAGAUGACCCUUAGAUGCUUUUGAGUGCCUGAAUAAGUCUAAUAACGAUUGGGAAAGAAUGUAGAAUGAGAUUGAACCUGGAAAGAUCAGAAAACGAAUUCCUUGGGAAUGAACCUGUACUCUCCAUGGCGAGCAGAGGCUCUCGCCUCGCGAGCUACCCCUUUACAACAUGCCUUGUUAGGUUAAAUGCGGUCCUUGUCGCACGAGUUGUUGUGAGAUGAUUUUAGAUGUUAAGAACUAAGUUGCCUAGCUUGCUGUUGAUGUUCCAGUGAGUCUAAAUUUUUUAAUCCGAUGAUGUUGUUGAUGUUAUAUAAAUGUAUAAACAUUGCAUGAUUUAUGUUGAUGAUAUGAAGUUGAUGAAUUGCAUUCGAUAUUGUUAUAUCACGAUGACUUGCAUACUGUUUAGUUGCUGUUUUGUUAUUUAACUAAGUUGCAUGAGUCAAUCCAAGUUGAUGAUGAUGAUGUUCCAAAUUAUUGGACUAUUUACGAAGUUGUUUAAGAUGUUUAAGAUGUCGAGUCCAUGCAUUAGCAUACAUAUGUUGGGGGCUUACUGCUCCGGAGCUUUGUACUCACCACGAUGGAGCUUUAGCUCAACCACGAUGGGGGCUUACGCCUGACAGUAUAUUAAUACUAUUACGAUGAACUGGUACCACAUGCAUAUAAGAGGUCUAAGUUGCAUAGUCGCAUUUGUCGAGUCUAAGAUGAUAAGAUUGUGAUUGUUUCUUGAAUUAUUAAGAAGUGUUAAAUGAUAUAUUUUUGGUAAGAUGAUGAUUUAAGUUGUUAAAUGUAAUUAUUGAAUUAUAUGCUUAAUGUUAUUGUUUUGUGAAAUCUCACCCCUUCUGCUUGGAAAUGUUGCUCUUCGUAUGAGUAACUUGUAGGUAAUCAGGAUUAGGUUACUGGUGUUGGUGUCGUGAGUGACUUGUUCCUCACUGAGUCCUUAGGUUGCUCUGAUACGUAACGGGAUGGGAUACUUUAUGACUAUUUUCCAUUUCUUUACGUAUUGAUUAUGAUGUUUAUGAAUAAGAUGUUUGACUGAACUUAUUAGAUGUUUUAUGAGGCCUGCGUGCCAAGACUUAUAUUUAUGACGAUUUAAUCCGCUACUAUUAUGUUAAAGAUUUAUGAUGUUGGAUAAUUUGUUAAUUAUCUUAUUUGUGAUUUUUAAGAAGUGUAAUAUCCCGUAUUUGAUGGAUACUCUGAUAUUUGUUUAUGAAAUUUUUAAGUUGGGAAAACGAGCUGGUGUUACACAGAGCAUCAUAUGCAUCAACAUCAACGUUACGCAUAUGCAGCGGGGGACAAUAAGCAGCUCUGAUCGGCACUGCCUGUAGCGGUGGUUGUGUUGUGUGCCAGCCAUAAUGUUCCUCCAAAUAUCUUCCUCUUCAUUUCUGUUUUCAUGUUCGUCUUCUUCAUCUGCAUCAUGCUGAAGUGCCUCGUCUUCAUCACUUUCACUACUAGCUUCUUCUUCUUGAUCUUGAAUGGUGUCUGGGAUGUCUUCUAGGCGGGUUUGUGUUUCUGGUUGUGUUUGUGGUGGUGGUUGUGAAGAUGAGGGUUCAAAUUCAUACUGUGUUUGUGAAAACGGUUGGGUGUACGGUAAUUGUUGUGAUGAAGAAGGGGGGUCAAACUCAUAUUGUGUUUGUGAGAACAACUGCGUGUACGGUAAUUGUUGUGAUGAAGAUGGGUGUUCAAACUCAUAUUGUGUUUGUGAAAACAAUGGAGGUGUUUGACACGGUUGUGGUGUUUGAUGAUGUUGUGAAAUCUCCCGAUUUUCAAUCGUAACCGAUAACUCAAUGGAACCGACCACAUUAAAAUAUUUGUGAGUGGCAAAUAUUUGACCAAACCUUUAACCCAUCCACCAACUACAACUACAACCAAACUUACCAAUCACCGCCACAACCCACAAACCAUAUCUUACAUAACACCCCAAUCCCAUAUCCAAGCUAUUCUUAACAAAGUCAUCAUGGAGAAAGCUCUCGAACAUCAAACUAUUCAUUUGAUGACUACAAUCCAACUCAAUACACCACACAAACCAGUUAUUCAGACCAAUCACAAUACUCCUCGUUCAACCUACCAACCCCUCUACAUUUUGUUAACUAUCCCCAAACAAGCUACGCACCUCAAUGGCCAAAUUCACAAACUAAUACCAUAGAAAGUCUGGCAGCAGGGUUUAAUGACGAUGACUUCGUUAAUGAAAUCUGGACCAACUCAGCUUCACAAGUGCAAAAUGAAGUCGCUAUGGAAACUAAUGAUGAUGUUGAAAUUCUUGACGAGGAUGUGGAACAGGAAGAGCACGAGGAAGAGGAAGAGGAAGAGCAAGAGCAAAACCAACGACCCGUACGAAAUAAAAAAGAUAAAUUAUGUGCUACGGGAGGUCAUAGUUUACAUUGGCGUAAUUGGUUUCCGUGGAGAAAGUUGUUUUUGUUUUUGUUUUUAUCUCUUAUGAAUAAAAUAAUUAGUGUUUUUAAAUUAAAUAUAUCAUCAUUAUCAUUACUAUAUUUUUAUUUAUCAAUAUUAUUUAUCAUUACUAUACUUUUAAUGUAAAAAAAAAGAAAAAACGAAAAUAAAAUAAAAUAAUGAGUCCCGCCAUUUGAAAUGGCGGGAAUGACCAAAAAAUAAUAAUAAAAAAAGAGUGCAGUCUGACGCGGUGGUCAGUCCCGCCAUUUCAGAUAGCGGGAACGGCGAAUAAGACAAAAAAAAAAAAAAAACUAAAGGGGUCAGACUGGAAUUUUUUUCCGAAAAGAGGGUCAGAAAAAAAAAAUCAAAAUUAGUAGAAGGGUGAAGUACAUACCAGUAGCAGGAGCAGGUGAAGUAGUGGCAGUUGGUGCUGGUUCUUGUACCGGUGAUGGAACGGGGGCCGUAGGAGAAGAGGUAGGUAAAACAUAAACUUCAUCAACGAAAAUCGACAGUUUCUGACCAGCAGAACAGUGACCAGGAAAGGUACAUAUGAAAUAUUGUUGCCCUACAGUGCUGAGAUUGAAAAACACCUUAGCUGGAGGCUUUGUCAUAACCGCAAGUGCGUUGGUUCCAUUGCAACUAUCGAAAUCUGAUUUUGUUACCCAUGCAACGGCGUGUGCAUUCAAUUGAUAGUUGAAUACUGUUCGCUAAAAGAAAUUAAUUAAAAUAAUCUGAUUUAUAGUUAUUAAUAUUAAUAGCUAAGAUUUACAUGAUGUCUUACAUACCAAGAGUGUCACGUGAGGUGAAGGUUUUAUUGGUCGCCCAGUUGACAUAGAAUUGUGAUCCAACGGAUGGGAUAGUCCAGCCUAAGCCAUCACCCACGGUGAAGGUUUUAGCUACGGAUCCAUGAAGAAGGUUAGCCACUGCGAGCAGCACAAAAACAAGACCAUUUAUGUUGCUUGCCAUGGUUGUGUAGUGAUUGUUCUUACAAGUAAUAAGUUGAGUUGCCCUUGUUUUCUACGAAUAUGCUUUGCGUUUGUUUGGUUUCUAAAAUGGAAGAACUUAUGAGGAUAAUGCCUUGUCUUUAUUCACACAUUAUUAGAGAUGAUUAACCAUACGUGUUUAUUGGAUUAAAAAAAAUAUAUACAUGUUUGUUUUUAAUUUUUUUAUUUUUAUAACUGAAUAUAUUCUUUACACGCAUAUAUAGAUAUCAAUCUAUUGGUUUAACACGACUUAAAAGUGAAUUUGAAUUUAGUAAUUCUUAUUAAGUUGAAAGAGAUCUUGCCAUUUCAUUCAAAUGUUUUUAUUCGAGUAUUGAUUUUUUAACACAGAAUAUUGUUCAUUUGAGUAAUGAUUUUUAACACACAAUAUUAACUAUGUUCCGUAAAUGAUUAAUAUGUACACCCUCCAGUUACUAUUAUAAGUAAAAAUCAACAUUUUAGAUUUAUUAAUUGAAUAAUGUAUGUGGUCUAUAAUAAAGAUCAUUAUAUCAUUAAUUUAAUGAAUCUAAAAUGUAGAUUUUUACUUAUAAUAGUAAUUAAAUGAUAUGCUUUUUUAAGUAUUGGUUUUUUGACACACAAUAUUUUUCAUUUUUUAUUACGUGGUUAACACAAUUUUUAGAUAAUGAGUUUUAUACUCCAUUGGGUUACAUUUAUAAGUAAAAAAUACAUUUUUAUGUUCAUUGAAUAAUUAAUGUAUUCGGUCACAUUUAUAUGUUAGAUACAUUAGUUAUUCAAUAUACUUAAAAAAAUUGUUUUUUAUUUAUAUAUGUGACCGGAGGGAGUAUGUUGCACGGUAGGAACCAGCAUAGUGUUGUAAUAGUGGCUUUUGUUACUUGGAAAAGGAAGUAGCGUAGAAGAAAACUUGGACACGAGUCUUUUAGUGGUUAGAGUUGUGAGUCAAUAUUGUGGACAAAGUCAAAUGUCCACUAGGAUAUUAAUUUUCAGGAUUUUUAUGAAAGGCUAACAUUAAAUUUGGUAAGAAAAAAUAAGGGAUACCACUACUUUGGUCCGUUUCUUUAUAAACAAUUUUGACGUAUAAUUAAUUAAUGUCAAUAUUAUGUUAAUUAUUAUUACUAAAUUUCUUUUUUUAAAUAUUUAAAUUAAUAACAUUUUAUCUCCUAAGAUAAAUCAAUAGUAUUAAAAAGAUAUGUUUAAGAAAAAUAAUAAAUACCUCUAGUCAUUUGAAAUUAGGCUUAAAUUUCGAAAUAACUUUUACCUUCUAAGAGAACUUAUAAUUUGGGACAUGAGAAAUAUUAAACCCACACCGUGUAACAUUACAUUUUCGUUAGAUUUAUUUUAAUUGUUUUUGUGUGUUUUAUAUAUGCUUGUAUGUGAUUAAUUGCUUAUGUGUGUAUUUUAGUGGGUUUUAAUGCUAGAGGGGUAUUUUGGUCUUUUUGUGGACAAAGGUAAACUAAUAAUUUUACCAUGUAGAAUUAUUUUAGUGGUUUGAGUGAGAAUAGUUAUUCUUCUUAUUAAGUGGCUAGAAAGUGAGGUAAUUAAUUUAGAGUCAGUAACUAUUGUUGUUUUUAUCCGUAAGUGAACAGAAACAUUUUCAAUUAGUUAAUGAGUGUGUUGAGUCCAUUAAGACAUUAAGGGUUAAGCUCAAUAGUGGUGAGCCUAUUUAAACCUUAGUUAUUGGAAAAACUAGGUUACCUAGUAUCAUUUGUUCAUUCUCACAAAAUAUUUUGAGAGAGGUAGAGAGAGAAAGAGCUAGAGAGAGGGUUUUGAAGAGGGAAGAACUUGAAGAGCAAAAAGAGGGUAGAGACUCAAGGGAUUGGAGUUAAAGUGAAGCACUAGCUUAGAUUUGUGAAGAUUUAAGGUAAGGGGACUAGUUUUCAUUCAUAAUCCUUUGUAUAAUCUCUUUUCCUUCUCAAGUUCAAAAGUGCUUAUUUGUGAAAAGUGAUUAUUGUGAUUAUAAUUGGUGAAAUUCGUGCUUAUGUUUUGAUGCAAUGUUUAAGUAUGUGAAUUUGAUGAUAAUUGUGUUGUAGAUGUUGAAUUGGCAUGCUUGAUAUGUAUAUAUGGGUAUAUUUUGUGUGUUGCUCAAAAUUGAUGAAGAAUGAUGUUGUUGUUGUUGUUGGAUUGUUGAUGAAUUCAUGGUUAAUUUUUGUUGUUGUUAUGAGAUGUGUUGGUGAUGAAUUGAUACCAUGAGUUUUCAUAAUUAUGGAAUUCUGAUGUGAAUUGAGUUGUUGUUGAGAGUUUUGGUGAAACAUUGUUGAAAUUGUUGAAAUGUUGUUUUGAUUUCAAGUUCUAUAUGAUUUUGAUUGUCUUUUAAGUACGUAAUAACCUCUUUUAUUAGAAAACUAAAAUAACAUGUCAACAUGUGUUAUAAAGCAGAAACAUGACUAACUACAUAGUUGGGAAUAAGUUCAAGACGUUGAGAACACUCUUCAGACAAUUGUUAUUGUAUCUUACUAUCAUCCAAAGAUUACAGGAUAAGAGUCAAACAAGUGUGAUUGGUAAGAAAAUUAUUCUCUUCUCUUCUUUUUCUUCUUCUCCUCCUCAGCCCUCUUGCCGGAAUUAUUCAAAAUGAUGGCUAGAUUCCGGAAAAAAACUGCAACCAAAUCACUAAACAAGGUCAGAGCAUGCUUCAAGGAUAAAAGAGCCCAAAAUACAACUCAAACUUGAAAGAACCAUUGAACCUCCAAAGAUGGCAGAAGCAAGGUGAAACCAUAUAAGAAUGGACAACCCAGAAGAAACCAAGCCACCAAGGUAGAGGUACUCCCUACGCUUAGCAACCAAAGUUGCUCCAGAGAAACACCCGAAAGCCAAGGAAGUUGCGACAAAUGAACUGAAGAUGAUGUUUGGAUCGACUUGAAUAGAGAAAUCAAUCAAGGGUCCAACAGAGGCACCCUGAAACAGUGUCGCGGCCAUCAACAAAGUCAACCUCAUUCGCUCUUCAGAAGGAGGUGUUGAGAGUAACCAAACACUAAUUCCCAAGCACGCAAUUGUGGUAAGAAUACCACCAAUGUUGAGAAGGACAUGGAGGUAAGCUCCAAUAGCAGCAGCGACUACAACAAAACACAAGGUCAAAUAAACCUGUUUGAGGUGAUUCUAAACGCUGGGAGAAAUCUGAUUGAAGUUUUUGAGAGUAUUGAAAUUCCAUCGAGGUGUUGAAUCGAAGAACGAAGCGAAUGAAUCCAUGACUUUUGUUUGUUUGUUUGUUUGUUUGUUUAGAUUGUCUUUUAAGUACAUAAACUUAUAAACAAACUUUAGGGAAGAAUUUGGGUGUUAGGGGAUCAAAAUUUGGAUUUUUGGGUGAAAAAUAGUGUAAAAACUGUAUCAACAGGGGAAAACUCACUAGAAACUUGCUAUUGGCGAAUUCUAUCUGGAAAAAUUUCGCUAAUAGCCAGAAUUUCGCUAUUGGCGAAAUUUAGUGACAACUUUUCCUUUUUCGUGUUCUUGCAUCUUUUUCACACAUUUAUGUUUUAGAUAAUUGAAUUAGCAUUCCAAUGACUUUGAUUUGACAUCAAAAUGAUUUUUAGAUUUUGAGUUAUGUUGAAAACACUCCAAGUAGGUCUUGGAGAAAUUUUAAGUAAAUUUAGCAUGACUAUUUCCAAGUCAACCCAAAACUUAUGGUUUGUUUCCAAAUUUCAAAACUUGAGUAUUAAGAGUUUAAUUAUGAUGUUUAAAAGUAUUUAACCUAUGUCUUCUUGAAUAUGAUGUUUAUCAUAAGGUGUUGUAUUUUCUCCUUUACUUGAAUUGUGAGAAACUGUAUGAAGUUGUUGUGAUGUUGGUUGAUAGUUGUGAUAAUGAUUAUGUUAAUGAUAAUGUGGUGAUGACUCUUAUUUGAAUUGUGACUUGUUGAUUGUGUGGAAGUAAAUACUUGAUAAUGCAAUUGUUGUUGAAGUUGAUCAAUGUAAAUGGAGGUGAUCUCUUACAUUGUUGUUGUUGAAUAUAUGAGAUGAUUUUGCUUUGUCGAGUCUUUGCUUGUAUGUCCAUGCAUCAUAGUCAUAUUGAGUCAUAUAUGUUGUAAAAGGGUGGUGAACUUUUACUUCGUUGAAAUGUAAGACGGAUGUCAAAUCUUACAUAUGAUGUUUUUGUUGCAUCAUGAGGUGACGACCUUUGUUGUUGGUGACGGUACCGCAUGCAUCUAGAAGAGUCUAGAACAUUGCAUGCAUUUGUGUAAUUGAUGAGGCGUGUCAUAAUUGAAUAUGUGACUUGAUGAAUUUGUGCAUUGGUGGAAUUUGGUGAAUGUUGUGAUUGUGUGGAUUGGUGUAUAUGUACAUUGGUGGAUUUUGUUGAUGGUUGUAAAUAAUUGAACUAUGCUCUAAUUGCAUGCCUUACUUGCUUGUGCUUAUACACUUGGUGAAUCUAUUUGAUGAUAAUUAUUUUGGUAAUAGUAAUGAGGUGAGAAUUGUAUAUCUAUGUGUGUGUGUGUGUGUGUGUGUGUGUGUGUAUAUAUAUAUAUAUGAUGUGGUGAUUUCUUUGAUAAUGAUGAUGGUUUGUUUAUAACUUUGAAAUGAUGAAUUGUACUUGUUGAGUUAAGUAUGUUAAAUGAGGAAUAAGGUGAGUAAUCCUUUCUUUGAUUGAUGUUGAUAAAUGAUGAGCUUACGUCGAUGACAUGAUGAAUAUGUUUGCUAUGUUAUGUUAGUAAUGUGAUAGCUUGAGGUGUAUGAAAUGGGGAAUAAUAAUCAUGUGAUGUUAGUAUUCUAGGAGGGAUGGGUAUGUAUAUGAGUUAUGCAUAAAAUCCUUGAAUGCUUAUGUUUGCUUAUUCUUGUUUAUGAUUCAUGUGAAGCUAAUCCCAGUGGUCUAUGGUGGACCGCCUACCUAUUUGUAUGAAUGGGUAGACAACGUGCAAGAAUAGUUUAUUGCUUGCUUGGUGAGUGUAUGAAAUUAUUAUGCAAUGACACAAUUAAAAUGCAACAGAAGCAACAUCAACUUCGCAUCACAAUUUCACAAUUAAUCAACAUUAUUCUUCGCAUAUAAACAAUAAUUUCAUCAACACACUUAUAGUUACGAAACUCAAGCAUUCAUACCUUAAUUUAACCCUUUAUUACUCAAGUUUGAAGUUUAGAAACCAAACCAUAAGUAUUGGAAUGACUUGGAAAUAGUUAUGCUAAGUUUCUUUAAAAUUUCCUCAAGACCUACUUGAAGUGUUUUCAUCAUAACUCAAAAUCCACAAAACAUUUUCAAGUCAAACCAACGCCAUUGGAAAUAUAACAUAAUUAUCUAAAACCUUCAUGUUUACACCAAAGGUCAAUUCAAAUCAGAAAAAGGGUGAAAAAGCACAAAAACUCAAAAACCGAAGUCCUGACAGCACGCAAACGAAGGCACAACAAAGCAGUCACCCAUGAGGGCUGUCUUUCGGCGCCUAGGUGCUGGCAAGCUGCACCCUGUAACGCCCGUUUCGAUUUAUUAAUUAUUUAAUUGAGUCUAGAUGAGUUAUAUUAUAUUUAAAUAAUAUAUGUGUGAUUUACAAUGAAUUUAGAUGAUUAGCGAUGAAUUGUGAUUUGUGAUGUUUUAUGUGAUUUUAUGAGAAGAUAAGACUUAUUUUGUUGUUUUAUAAAAUAAGAUUUGAAAAAUAAAUAAAUAUUGAGUUUGAGGGUUGUUUUAAGAUUUUAGAGAGUUUUGGGGGAGAAAGUGAGAUAAGAUAAGAUUGAGUGUGAGAGAUAUAAAUAGGGAAAACCUAACUUAGAAAAAACUUAUUGUACGUGAAAACUUUUGGAAGAGGGAGAAAGAGCCAUUGAAGGGAGAAUCCGAAGAGAGGGCUGCGAUUUCAUUGUAUAAGGUAAGGGUGAGACUAACUCUACAAUAUUAUUGAUCAUGUAAUUCAUCUGAUUAUAUUUAGCAAAGAUUAUGAUUGAAUUGGAGGAAACGAAAACUAGGUCAAUUGGUGAGAAAAUUAUGAUUAAAUGGUGAAAAUUGGUUAGAUUGAUGUAGAGUUGGUACUUGGAUGUCCUUGGUGAAAAUUAUGAGAGUUGGUGAUUUUUAGGUGAAAACUGUAUUCUGCCCGUAGCGAUAUUCAUCGCUCGCCUCGCGAGUUGCGCAAUGCAGCUCGCCACAGCGAGCAGUCCUACUCGCCAUAGCGAGCUAGAGCAGAGAGCAUGCAAGAUUUUGCAAUUUUGACAUUUGAGUUGAUACUUGGAUGUCCUUGAGUGCCUGAACAUACCUAGUAAUGAUUAGGAAUGAAUGUAGGAUGAGAUUGGACCUAGAACAACCUUUAUUGGGAACCUGGCUUGUACUCGCCAUGGUGAGCAUAUGCCCUUGCCUCGCGAGUACUUCCAGAAUUGAGUGCAAGUGAGUUUAAUGCGACCUGUGUCGCAUGUUUUGAUUAGAGAUGGACCCCUGGGUAGUAGUGAGACCUAAUGUUGAUGUUAGAGAUAAUUUGUAAAGCUGUUUAAGAUGUUUUGAUGCUAAUUAGGAUGUGACUUGGUGAAUGUGUAUUACUUGAGAUGUUAUUGAAUAUUAAAAAGGUUAUUGAAAUUGCAUUUGAUAUUAUAAUGUCAUGUAGAUGUUGUGAUCUGCCUAUGCUGCUAUUGGUAUUUAACUAGUUGCAUAAGUCUUCUGAGAUGAACGUGUUGAACCUCCAAAUUACUGGAUAUAUAAGAGAUGAUUAACGAGAUGUUUUUAAGAGAUCGAGUCCAUGCAUUAGCAUACAUUGUUGGGGGCUCAUGCCCUGGAGCUUAGUACUCAACACGAUGGAGCUUUAGCUCGAAUAGCGAUGGGGGCUCAUGCCCUGAAGUAUAUUAAUACUUAUAGCGAUGGGGGCUCAUGCCCUGUAUUGGUACCACAUGCAUAUGAGAUGUCUAGGUUGCAUAGUCGCAUUGUCGAGUCGAGAUGUUAAGAUGUUAUGAGAUUUAUGAUGCUUUAAUGAAGUGAUAAAUGAUAUACUAUUAUCUGUAAUGUGAUGAUGUUUAUGAUUCUUAUAUUGAUGUUCAUGUUGUUAAAUAUGAUCGUUGUAUUAUAUUGAUUAAUAUUAUUGUUUUGUGAAAUCUCACCCCUUCUGCUUGAAAAUGUUGCUCUUCGUAUGAGUAACUUGCAGGUGAUUGAGCUUAGAGUUGCUGAGUUUGCUGUCGUGAGUGGCCUAUCCUCACUGAGUCUUAGGUUGCUCUGAUACGUAACGGGAGGGAACCUUUUUGCUUGUUUUCUCUUCCUUUGUGUAUAUGCUAUGCUUUUAUGUCAUUUGACUGAGUAUAUUUAUGAGGUCUGCGUGCCAAGACUUUAUGAUGAUUUGAAUUUAAUUCCGCUGCUGUUUUGUUGAUGAAAGAUAAAUUAUUAUAUAUUUACCUAUGAUUUAAGAUUUUUAAGAAUGUGAUAUCCCGUUAUUUGAUGAUUACUCUGAUUAUAUGUUUGAAAUUUUUAUAUUGGAAAAAUGGGGUGUUACACACCCAGGCGUGGGCAGACAGUAGUUAGUGACCUGCGCUGCAGCUCUGUGCAGUCCUGGUUUUUUUUUUUUUCUUUUUUUUUUUUCCGGUUUUAUCAUUUCGCACGUAAAAACUCAACUGUUAUCCCGAUUCCAAUUUCGUUUUCGCCUACGCGCCUAUUAAAUAAAUCCUAUCAUAUUUUACUGAAAAAUCGUAUUUUUAAAUCUCCAAAAACAGCUUAUCCCAGAAUCACUUAUUUUCCAAAAACACUUAAAAUCACUUUUAUUCAAAAUCUCAAUUUUUGACCCCAUUCGAUCCCAAUUUGAUAGAAAACAUUACCUAGGGUUACUCUACAACCUAAACAUCAACUUUCACAUUAAUUCAUUGGAUUAGUUACACUUUAAAGAAUCAAAUUGCAAAUUGAAAACCCUAACUUCUUUUGCCAACCCCAACUUCUUUAACAUCACAAUUAUCAACAACAAUAAAAUUAAACCCUUUUUCAGAAUUAUAGACUCAUGAUUAAAGAUGGUUAGUCUCACCCUUACCUUAGAUUGGAUGAACUUUGAAUUCUUUAAGCUUUCCCUUGCCCUCUCACAAUGCUCUUCUCUUAUCUGACUUCUCACUUUCUCUUUUUCUCCCAAAAACUGUUUUUACGUGUUCUGACUCUCUAUUCAUAACCCCUCCUAUUCUUAACUUACAUAUUCUCCCUUAUUCCAGUUCUGCCUUUAUGUCUCAUUAAUCUAAUUUAAUUAUAUUCCCUCACUAAUAAUGCUCAUAUUAAGCUACUAAUAAUUACCAACAUAUAACAUAUCACAAUUAUUCAAUUAAAUUAUACAAAAAGACACUAAACUCGAUAAAAUAAAUAAAUAAUAAAAUAGGGUGUUACACUACCUCUAUUUAUACGUUUGAUGUCUUAGAUUAGACUCUGAUCUAGGAUGUCAGCCGAUAUCUUUAUUUCGGGUUAUUAUUGAUGUUGUUGAAAUUUUUACCCUUUUGUCGGGAUUCAGAGAUUUUAUGUAUUGACAUGUUGGAGUUAUGACAUGUAUAUUUGGAGAUGUCUGCCAUGUAUCGUCUGUUUUUCAAUUAGUUUUUAGCAGUUUUAGACAGCUGGAAGCUGUAAAAAAAAAGCUAAAAUAUGGUUUUAGUCCCUGCAAAUAUGCCUCGUUUUGGUUUUAGUCCCUGGUAAAAAUAAAAUUGUUUUUGGUCCCUGCAAAAUUUUUUGUUUUUGAAAAUAGUCCCUGACCCCACUUUUGUGAUUAUUUGCAUACGUGGCACAUUAUAACUGAACCAAUUUUGUAGUUUUUGGUCUUUGCAAAAUAUUUUGUUUUUAAAAAAGGUCCUUGCAAAAUUUUUUGUUUUUGAAAAUAGUCCCUCUAGGGACCAAAAACAAAUUUUUUUUACCAGGGACUAAAAUCAAAACGAGCCAUAUUUGCAGGGACUAAAACCAUAUUUUAGCCAAAAAAAAAAAAAAAAAACCAAGGAGAUCGUGAAAACGAAAAUCAAGCCACGAUUUUGAGGAAAACAAUAAGUAUUUAGCGGUUAGAUUUGUGAGACAAUAUUGUGGAUGAAGUCAAAUGUCCAAAUAGGAUAUUAGUUUUCAGGAUUUUUUUAUGAAAGACUAAUAUUAAAUUUGGUAAGAAAAAAAAGAAGGGAUACAACUACUUUGGUCACUCUUUUUAUAAACAAUUUUGACGUAUAUUGAUUAAUGUGAAUAUUUUGUGAAGUAUUAUUACUUCUUUUUUUUAGGGGACUAAAUUGUUCUUUUUGUAUUAAUAUAUUUGAGAAAAAAUAUAUUUUCUAAAAAGGAUAUAUUUGAGAAAAAUAAUAAAUAUAUUAAGUAAUUUGAAAUUAGACUAGAAUUAGGAGUAUUUUUUUUUUCUCCUUCUAAGAGAGCUUGACAUAAGAAAUAUUAAAGCGAAUCUGCAGAUUUUAAGUAGACCCUUACCUUUUAUCAUUUUUCUAGAAGUGUCCUCUUUCAUUUUUAUUUUAUUUUUAUCUUCUUUGUGCACCAAAUGCAUGGUGUCCCAUAAAUGACAAGUUUAUGAUAGAUGUAGAUUUUUAUUUCUCAAUUUAAAACCCUAUCAAAUGGAAUGUUUGUUUCUAAUAAUUUGGUCUUGAAACCAAUUUCAUGGUAUUUUUCUUCUAAAAGAACUUUAACCAUCCAUUUUCUAUAAAAAAAACCUCACGAAAUAUAUUUUCAGACAUGAUAUACAAUGUUUUUCUCCAAAAGUACUUCUCAGAAAGACACUAAACUGUGCUUUUUAAGUGUUUGUAUUCGUAAAAAGACAUUUGGGCAAGCUCAAAUUCAAUGUUUUACAAGGAAUAUUGAAAUCGAUCUAAAAUGUUUGGAACUACACUUAACUACUAAUGGAGAGCCGAAUAACAAUUAAGUGUCACUCGACCAACAACAAUCGGAAAAAAAAAUUGCUAUAUAAGCGACAACCUUUAUAACGAAGGUCUCGCGAAUUAAACAUGCUCCAAUUAAAUUGUGUUAUUUUCGGAAUACAUGGAGGAGGUGGUGGAAAACACAUGACGAUGAAAAACAUGCUCCAAUCAAUAAAUGCCAACUGUGUCUGAAAAUGCUCGGAUGAUAUUUUUCGCUUGAAAUAUCAUUUUCUAUAAAUUUAAGAAGUAAAAAGAAUAACGUUCAAUGAUAAGCUAUACCAAUGUUAACGGAUGGUUACUAAUAGUACUAAAAGGCUUUGCUCUCUACAAAAUCUUUGUAUUAUAAGUAAAGAUGAAAAGAAAAUUAUGUUUAUGAAUAAUGAGCAAGUUUCGUAGGUAUUAAAUCGCUUUUAUAUCACUGCUCACACAUAUGUGGGCUCAAAGCCAAACAACACAUAAACACCUUUUUUUCUUUUCAUUAUUUUUUAUGUUUUUUUUUUCUUUCUUAUUUUGUGUGUGGCUCUACUUGAGAAGGACUCGCCCAACAUUACCCACACUAAAGAGCCACAUCCAUCUAUGCAAAGGAACAAACCUCCCAACAUUGAUCAGAGAUGCCAACACAGCAUGAAGACUACACCAUAAACUGUCCUAAAUACCAGAUACAAAUGCAUAGCCAAAAGAUUGCUAUCACAAAAUUAAGGAAUAUGCAAGGCAGCAGCUCCAAGAGCACAACAUGUAUCAUGAUAUAACAACACCAAAAUAUUGCUACAUGAAACUGACAACAAAAAUAUGUCAUUCCAACCAAUUGAUCGAGCAAAAAUGUGAUAAAUUCAAAACCAUCCACCACCUAAGCACCAAUAACUGCCACUGCAAAGCACCAAAACCCAGCCACCAAGAGAAGAGGAACUUCAUAGAUAUAAUAUACCUCCUAAUUUUUUAAGCCUCAUAUAUAGGUCCUUAAUAUUUUUUGCUUUAAAUAUAUUUCUAUAUGUCAAAUUCUUUAAACAUCUUCGCAUCUAGCUCAGUUAAUUAAUAGUUAAAUGGAGAGUUGUAGAUUUUUAGUUCAUGUUGCAAGUUUGAUCCCAGAGGUAACUACUUUAUUGAUUAUAGGUAUCUUAAAUUCUUUUUUCUUCAAAUUUCUAUGAAUAUAAUGUUAUUUGCUUUUAAAAAGUGCUUGCCCUAGGUUGAGUCUAACGAAAGGAGUUAAACUCUCGCAGUUUGAUGAAUCAAUAUUAAAAUAUUUGAUUGGGAAUAAUAUUCAUAUUUAGUGUCACAUGCCUCAAAUAAAAUUAUACAUUUAGUGUUCUUAAUUUUUAAGUUUUUAUGUCAACACACUUAAAAUGCCUCAAUUUAAAAUUCGCUUUAUGCAACUAAAUAAUACUCCUUGGGAUAAAUUCGUGAAAACAAAUUCGAUAUACAUAGCAUUUAUGAGGAAAUGUUCAUUCAACUAUGGAACUGGAUCCUCUACUCUGAAAGGAGAGGUCUAUUUAAAUAAAACAUCUGAAUAUUUUUUAAGAGAUGAAGAGAACUGAAUGUUAAAAACAAGUAAGAUAAAAUAUUUAAGGGUGUGGAUUCCAGCGGACUCUUCAAUGAUUGCAAAGGAUUUGAUACCUUCAAUUAUAAUUUUUUAAUGGGUUUUUCUAUCAUGUGUAAAUUUGCACAUGUUAACAAAUUUAAAGUAGUAACUUUGACUUGGAACUUGUGCAUUUUAUAUUAAAUAUGUAGGUUUUUAAUAAUUAAUUAUUGGUUUUCAAAGAAAAAUUACUAUUUUUAGUAGCCUUAACAUGUGCAAGUUUGCACAGGUUAGACAAAUCCUUUUUUAAUUUAUGUGUCGUUACAAUCGUCACAUUGAAUAAAAAAUUUGUUAUGCUAACGUAUGUACUUAAGUCAUAUAUAUUAUGACACAUUUUCAAUACAUCAUUUUCAUCCUUGAUUUUUCAACAUGUACCCGACACAUAUUAGCAUUUAUCAUAAAUUUUAGAUCACCCCAAAAAAAAUAAAAAAAUUAGAUGUCAUUAUUAUGGGCGAAAAUGAAUAUUUUACUAAUAUGUUUAAUAUUUCAUAACACAUAUUAAUUAGAAUAGGCUUAAAUAAGAUAUCAGUCCCUGUAAUUUGGAUCGGUUUUAAAUUUCGUCCCUGUAAAAAAAAAACUUUGAAUUACAUCCCUGUAAAAAAAAAAAAUUAUUCGAAAAAGGUCCCCGGCCCCACUAAAACGUUGAAGUGGCAUGGUUUUUGCCACGUGGCAGUUGCUGAUUGUGCAACUUAUGCCACAUAAUAUUAAAUUUUUCUAAAAAUUGUUUUUAAAAUAUAAAAAAUAUUAAAAUUAUUUUCUGAAAUUAUUUUUAUCAUAUAAUUUUCAAAUUUUUUUUUUUUUUAAAUUAUAAAAUCUGAAAUUUCGAAAAAAAAUGAAAUGAUUUUUUAAUUUUUUUUUUAAAAUAUGAAGAAAUAAAUAUAAUUUUUAAAUUAAAAAAAAUUAAUGGUCGAAAAUUUAAUUUUAACAGUUUUUUUUUUCGAUUUUUUUAAUGAUUUUUGAAUUUAUUUUCAUAUUUUUUUACUUUAAAAAUAAUUUUAAAUUUUUAAUUACGUGAACUGUCACAUCAGUGCCACGUGGCAUAAGUUGCACAGUCAGCAACUGCCACGUGGCAAAACCCAUGUCAUAUCUUCAAAAAUGUGGGGCCAUGGACCUUUUUCAAACAAAAAAAAAAUUACAGGGAUAUUUUUCAAACUUUUUUUUUUACAAGGACGAAAAUCAUAUUUAAGCCAUUAGUAUAUCCCUCUCAAUCACGGCUUUCUAGUGACUUCCACAUAAAAUAAAAACAUUUUCUAGUAUAGCUUGUUCUCCAUUUGUAGCAUAUGUAACAUACUCCCUCCAUUUCUUUUCUUUUGAUAUUUUAGUUCUUAGCACAAAUUUUAAGGAGUAAUUAAAGUAUAUAAAUAUUUGUGUAUUUUUGAUUAAAAUAUCCUUAUUUAUCAUUAAAUUCACAUGUGAUAAACCAAAGGUCACAACUAUUUUAAUAGUUUAAGGUGUUUUCCAAUAAAGAUAAACUUGAGAAAACAAUAAUAAAUUCACUACAACAUCUAAUGUUUUGGAAUACAUUUGAAUUUCUAAAUCAUCAAAAGAAAAGAAAUGGAGGGAGUACAGUUUAAUUUACAUGAUCAAUUGUUAAUGAGCUUGCAAUAAAUAUAAAAACUAUAUGAGACACUUGAACUCAAUUGCUUAACAAGAAGAUUAAAGGGAUGGAGAUUGUCUUCAUUUGAAAAGGUUAAGAAGACUCUGAUACUGAUCUAGUGGGAGAUGAAUGUAAUGGUUUUGGUGGCAUUUCCAGUGAAUUCAUUGUAACUUCUAACAUUUCAAUCACUUUACUCAUUGUAGGUCUAUCACUUGGAAAUGUUUGAAUGCACCAUAAACCCACAAUAGUCAUUCUCCUUGCAAUCUCAUCUUCUUCUGUAUCCAUAACCCCAUCAGGUCUCAGAUUAGUGCCAAGCUCUAGCCUAUUGUAUACCCAAUGUGGAAAGUAUAUCUCACUAGUGUGACUUGCAUCAGCAAUGAUGUUUUUCCUCCCUCCAACCAUUUCUAGCAACAUCAUUCCAUAACUAUAAACAUCAGAUUUGUGUGAAACUCCUCCAAAAUGUCUAUUCCACACUUCUGGAGCUACAUAUCCCAUUGUCCCUCUUUGAUCUGACAUUGAAAUAAUGCUCUCUUGUUUUGGACAGAGUUUUGCAAGUCCAAAAUCUGAAAUCUUUGGACAUAAGUUUUCAUCUAAAAGAAUGUUAUGUGGUUUUAUGUCAAAAUGUAAAAUUCGAGUGGUACAUCCUCUAUGCAAGUACUCUAGCCCACGAGCUAUCCCUUUUGCAAUUUGAUACAAAUUCUCCCAACUCAAAGAUGCAAUUGUUUCAGGUCCCUUAUUGUAAAUAAAUUUGUCAAGAGAACCAUUUGACAUAAAUUCGUAUAUGAGUGCUUUUUUUGUGCCUUCAAAACAAAAUCCAAGAAGGGUAACAACGUUAACAUGUGAGGUUCUAGAAAUACUAGAAACCUCAUUAAUAAAUUCUUCACCGUUUCCUUUGGAUGGAUUCAAUAUCUUUAUAGCAACGUGACAACCAUUGAAUAACUUUCCUUUGUACACAACACCAAAGCCUCCUUGACCAAGUUUAACCUUGAAAG
rnacentral:lncRNA from 1 species